AGACCCGAAACCCGGUGAUCUAGCCAUGGGCAGGUUGAAGGUUGGGUAACACUAACUGGAGGACCGAACCGACUAAUGUUGAAAAAUUAGCGGAUGACCUGUGGCUGGGGGUGAAAGGCCAAUCAAACCGGGAGAUAGCUGGUUCUCCCCGAAAGCUAUUUAGGUAGCGCCUCGUGAAUUCAUCUCCGGGGGUAGAGCACUGUUUCGGCCAGGGGGCCAUCCCGGCUUACCAACCCGAUGCAAACUGCGAAUACCGGAGAAUGUUAUCACGGGAGACACACGGCGGGUGCUAACGUCCGUCGUGAAGAGGGAAACAACCCAGACCGCCAGCUAAGGUCCCAAAGUCAUGGUUAAGUGGGAAACGAUGUGGGAAGGCCCAGACAGCCAGGAUGUUGGCUUAGAAGCAGCCAUCAUUUAAAGAAAGCGUAAUAGCUCACUGGUCGAGUCGGCCUGCGCGGAAGAUGUAACGGGGCUAAACCAUGCACCGAAGCUGCGGCAGCGAACGUAUCACCCAAGACAACUUUGCACAGUUGACGAUUGACGGAGCGAAGCGACGUCAAAGCGUUUUACAACGUCGAGUUGGCUUAGGGAUACGUUCGUUGGGUAGGGGAGCGUUCUGUAAGCCUGUGAAGGUGUGUCGUGAGGCAUGCUGGAGGUAUCAGAAGUGCGAAUGCUGACAUAAGUAACGAUAAAGCGGGUGAAAAGCCCGCUCGCCGGAAGACCAAGGGUUCCUGUCCAACGUUAAUCGGGGCAGGGUGAGUCGACCCCUAAGGCGAGGCCGAAAGGCGUAGUCGAUGGGAAACGGGUUAAUAUUCCCGUACUUGGUGUUACUGCGAAGGGGGGACGGAGAAGGCUAUGUUGGCCGGGCGACGGUUGUCCCGGUUUAAGCGUGUAGGCUGGUUUUCCAGGCAAAUCCGGAAAAUCAAGGCUGAGGCGUGACGACGAGGCACUACGGUGCUGAAGCAACAAAUGCCCUGCUUCCAGGAAAAGCCUCUAAGCAUCAGGUAACAUCAAAUCGUACCCCAAACCGACACAGGUGGUCAGGUAGAGAAUACCAAGGCGCUUGAGAGAACUCGGGUGAAGGAACUAGGCAAAAUGGUGCCGUAACUUCGGGAGAAGGCACGCUGACACGUAGGUGAAGUGAUUUACUCAUGGAGCUGAAGUCAGUCGAAGAUACCAGCUGGCUGCAACUGUUUAUUAAAAACACAGCACUGUGCAAACACGAAAGUGGACGUAUACGGUGUGACGCCUGCCCGGUGCCGGAAGGUUAAUUGAUGGGGUCAGCGCAAGCGAAGCUCCUGAUCGAAGCCCCGGUAAACGGCGGCCGUAACUAUAACGGUCCUAAGGUAGCGAAAUUCCUUGUCGGGUAAGUUCCGACCUGCACGAAUGGCGUAAUGAUGGCCAGGCUGUCUCCACCCGAGACUCAGUGAAAUUGAACUCGCUGUGAAGAUGCAGUGUACCCGCGGCAAGACGGAAAGACCCCGUGAACCUUUACUAUAGCUUGACACUGAACAUUGAGCCUUGAUGUGUAGGAUAGGUGGGAGGCUUUGAAGCGUGGACGCCAGUCUGCGUGGAGCCGGCCUUGAAAUACCACCCUUUAAUGUUUGAUGUUCUAACGUGGACCCGUAAUCCGGGUUGCGGACAGUGUCUGGUGGGUAGUUUGACUGGGGCGGUCUCCUCCUAAAGAGUAACGGAGGAGCACGAAGGUUGGCUAAUCCUGGUCGGACAUCAGGAGGUUAGUGCAAUGGCAUAAGCCAGCUUGACUGCGAGCGUGACGGCGCGAGCAGGUGCGAAAGCAGGUCAUAGUGAUCCGGUGGUUCUGAAUGGAAGGGCCAUCGCUCAACGGAUAAAAGGUACUCCGGGGAUAACAGGCUGAUACCGCCCAAGAGUUCAUAUCGACGGCGGUGUUUGGCACCUCGAUGUCGGCUCAUCACAUCCUGGGGCUGAAGUAGGUCCCAAGGGUAUGGCUGUUCGCCAUUUAAAGUGGUACGCGAGCUGGGUUUAGAACGUCGUGAGACAGUUCGGUCC
rnacentral:rRNA from 1 species